AAACAAGAUUUUUAUGGAAGGCCUCUGCAACACAUAUUCAGUCCUAAAUAAACCAAUAUUUGUAUGAAUUGGAGGUGAAGAAAGAGAGGAAGAACAGUUUUUGCAACACUGAUUUCCAGACAUGACAGGAAGAAUCUUCUG
rnacentral:lncRNA from 1 species